rnacentral:pre_miRNA from 1 species
UGUGUACUCACUCUGCCCAACAAAAUGUGGCUCAAGUUUGUUAAAAUUUGAAUGUAUGUAGACAUGACUUAGUGUAUAGAUGCAAUCAAAUUUAGUUAAAGUUGAGACAUAUUUUUUUGGACGGAGAGAGUAUAUG